UACGGGGGGGGCAAGCGUUGUUCGGAAUUACUGGGCGUAAAGGGCUCGUAGGCGGCCAACUAAGUCAGACGUGAAAUCCCUCGGCUUAACCGGGGAACUGCGUCUGAUACUGGAUGGCUUGAGUUUGGGAGAGGGAUGCGGAAUUCCAGGUGUAGCGGUGAAAUGCGUAGAUAUCUGGAGGAACACCGGUGGCGAAGGCGGCAUCCUGGACCAACACUGACGCUGAGGAGCGAAAGCCAGGGGAGCAAAGCGGG
rnacentral:rRNA from 1 species